rnacentral:rRNA from 1 species
AGCGGGAAAAGCUCAAAUUUAAAAUCUGGCAGUUGUUGACUGUCCGAGUUGUAGUCUAGAGAAGUGUUACCUGUGCUGGACCAUGUACAAGUCUUCUGGAAUGAAGUAUCAUAGAGGGUGAGAAUCCCGUCUUUGACAUGGACUACCAGUGCAUUAUGGUGUGCUCUCAAAGAGUCGAGUUGUUUGGGAAUGCAGCUCAAAAUGGGUGGUAAAUGCCAUCUAAAGCUAAAUAUUGGCGAGAGACCGAUAGCGAACAAGUACCGUGAGGGAAAGAUGAAAAGAACUUUGGAAAGAGAGUUAAACAGUACGUGAAAUUGCUGAAAGGGAAACGCUUGAAGUCAGUCGCGUUGGCUAGAAAUCAGCCUUGCUCUUGCUUGGUUUACUUUCUGGUUGACGGGUCAGCAUCAAUUUUGACCAUUGGAUAAAGUCAUUGGGAAUGUGGCAUCUUUGGAUGUGUUAUAGCCCAUUGUUGCAUACAGUGGUUGGGAUUGAGGAACUCAGCACGCCGCAAGGCCAGGUUUUUAACCAUGUUCGUGCUUAGGAUGCUGGCAUAAUGGCUUUAAUCGACCCGUCUUGAAACACGGACCAAGGAGUCUAACAUGCCUGCAAGUGUUUGGGUGGAAAACCCAUGCGCGCAAUGAAAGUGAAAGUUGAGAUCCCUUCAAGGGGAGCAUUGACGCCCAGACCAGACCUUUUGUGACGGAUCUGCGGUAGAGCAUGUAUGUUGGGACCCGAAAGAUGGUGAACUAUGCCUGAAUAGGGUGAAGCCAGAGGAACUCUGGUGGAGGCUCGUAGCGAUUCUGACGUGCAAUCGAUCG